CUGGAGCAUCCACGGUCUGUGGCCCCUUAAGGCCAUGAGAUGCUGCGACUGCUGGCGGAUGUUCCAGUCUGACGUCCAGGAGCUGAAGGACGAGCUGGAUGAACACUGGCCGUCGUUAGUGAAGAAAAGAUCCAGCUU